CCUACGGGUGGCAGCAGUUGGGAAUAUUGCACAAUGGGGGAAACCCUGAUGCAGCGACGCCGCGUGAGUGAAGAAGUAAUUCGGUACGUAAAGCUCUAUCAGCAGGGCAGAAAAUGACGGUACCUGACUAAGAAGCCACGGCUAACUACGUGCCAGCAGCCGCGGUAAUACGUAGGGGGCAAGCGUUAUCCGGAUUUACUGGGUGUAAGGGGAGCGUAGACGGCAGCGCAAGUCUGGAGUGAAAUCCCAUGGCUUAACCAUGGACCUGCUGUGGAAACGGGGCAGCGAGAGUGCAGGAGAGGUAAGCGGAAUUCCUAGUGUAGCGGGGAAAUGCGUAGAUAUUAGGAGGAACACCAGUGGCGAAGGCGGCUUACUGGACUGUAACUGACGUUGAGGCUCGAAAGCGUGGGGAGCAAACAGGAUUAGAUACCCCUGUAGUC
rnacentral:rRNA from 1 species